GGCGGUGUGCUUCACACAUGCAAGUCGAACGAGGUAGCAAUACCUAGUGGCGGACGGGUGAGUAACGCGUGGGAAUCUGCCUUUAGAUGGGGGAUAACGGGUCGAAAGACUCGCUAAUACCGCAUAUGACGAAAGUUGAAAGGAGUAAUCCGUCUAAAGAUGAGCCCGCGUCCGAUUAGCUAGUUGGUAGAGUAAAAGCCUACCAAGGCGACGAUCGGUAGCUGGUCUGAGAGGAUGAUCAGCCACAAUGGGACUGAGACACGGCCCAUACUCCCACGGGAGGCAGCAGUGGGGAAUUUUACGCAAUGGGCGAAAGCCUGACGUAGCGACACCGCGUGAGCGAAGAAGCCCCUUGGGGUGUAAAGCUCUGUCAGCUGGAACGAAAAAAAUGACGGUACCAGCAGAGGAAGCAUCGGCUAACUACGUG
rnacentral:rRNA from 1 species